UAAUACGGAGGGGGCGAGUGUUGUUCGGAAUUACUGGGCGUAAAGGGCGCGCAGGCGGCUUGGCAAGUCGAGUGUGAAAUACCUCAGCUUAACUGAGGAACGGCGCUCGAAACUACCUCGCUAGAGGGCGGGAGAGGGAAGUGGAACUCUCGGUGUAGGGGUGAAAUCUGUAGAUAUCGA
rnacentral:rRNA from 1 species